AUUGAACGCUGGCGGAAUGCCUUACACAUGCAAGUCGAGCGGCAGCGCGGCCUUCGGGCUGGCGGCGAGCGGCGAACGGGUGAGUAAUGCAUCGGAACAUGCCCAGUCGUGGGGGAUAACACUUCGAAAGAAGUGCUAAUACCGCAUACGUCCUGAGGGGGAAAGCGGGGGAUCGCAAGACCUCGCGCGAUUGGAGUGGCCGAUGUCAGAUUAGCUAGUUGGUGGGGUAAAGGCCUACCAAGGCGACGAUCUGUAGCUGGUCUGAGAGGAUGAUCAGCCACACUGGGACUGAGACACGGCCCAGACUCCUACGGGAGGCAGCAGUGGGGAAUUUUGGACAAUGGGGGCAACCCUGAUCCAGCCAUUCCGCGUGAGUGAAGAAGGCCUUCGGGUUGUAAAGCUCUUUCGGCAGGAACGAAACGGUGGGCUCUAACAUAGUCCGCUAAUGACGGUACCUGAAGAAGAAGCACCGGCUAACUACGUG
rnacentral:rRNA from 1 species